CCUGUGUGUGUGUGUGUGUGUGUGUGUGUGUGUGUGUGUGUGUGUGGCCUCACAAGUGGACAUAAAGCUGACGCCACACACGUCCGC
rnacentral:miRNA from 1 species